UGGGGAAUUUUGGACAAUGGGCGAAAGCCUGAUCCAGCAAUGCCGCGUGUGUGAAGAAGGCCUUCGGGUUGUAAAGCACUUUUGUCCGGAAAGAAAUCCUUGGCUCUAAUACAGUCGGGGGAUGACGGUACCGGAAGAAUAAGCACCGGCUAACUACGUGCCAGCAGCCGCGGUAAUACGUAGGGUGCAAGCGCUAAUCGGAAUUACUGGGCGUAAAGCGUGCGCAGGCGGUUUGCUAAGACCGAUGUGAAAUCCCCGGGCUCAACCUGGGAACUGCAUUGGUGACUGGCAGGCUAGAGUAUGGCAGAGGGGGGUAGAAUUCCACGUGUAGCAGUGAAAUGCGUAGAGAUGUGGAGGAAUACCGAUGGCGAAGGCAGCCCCCUGGGCCAAUACUGACGCUCAUGCACGAAAGCGUGGGGAGCAAACAGGAUUAGAUACCCUGGUAGUCCACGCCCUAAAACGAUGUCAACUAGUUGUUGGGGAUUCAUUUCCUUAGUAACGUAGCUAACGCGUGAAGUUGACCGCCUGGGGAGUACGGUCGCAAGAUUAAAACUCAAAGGAAUUGACGGGGUCAUAGCUGUUUCCU
rnacentral:rRNA from 1 species